AGUCGAGGGGCAGCAUGGUCUUAGCUUGCUAAGGCUGAUGGCGACCGGCGCACGGGUGAGUAACACGUAUCCAACCUGCCGUCUACUCUUGGCCAGCCUUCUGAAAGGAAGAUUAAUCCAGGAUGGCAUCAUGAGUUCACAUGUCCGCAUGAUUAAAGGUAUUUUCCGGUAGACGAUGGGGAUGCGUUCCAUUAGAUAGUAGGCGGGGUAACGGCCCACCUAGUCAACGAUGGAUAGGGGUUCUGAGAGGAAGGUCCCCCACAUUGGAACUGAGACACGGUCCAAACUCCUACGGGAGGCAGCAGUGAGGAAUAUUGGUCAAUGGGCGAUGGCCUGAACCAGCCAAGUAGCGUGAAGGAUGACUGCCCUAUGGGUUGUAAACUUCUUUUAUAAAGGAAUAAAGUCGGGUAUGCAUACCCGUUUACAUGUACUUUAUGAAUAAGGAUCGGCUAACUCCGUGCCAGCAGCCGCGGUAAUACGGAGGAUCCGAGCGUUAUCCGGAUUUAUUGGGUUUAAAGGGAGCGUAGAUGGAUGUUUAAGUCAGUUGUGAAAGUUUGCGGCUCAACCGUAAAAUUGCAGUUGAUACUGGAUGUCUUGAGUGCAGUUGAGGCAGGCGGAAUUCGUGGUGUAGCGGUGAAAUGCUUAGAUAUCACGAAGAACUCCGAUUGCGAAGGCAGCCUGC
rnacentral:rRNA from 1 species